UCUCUCUCUCUCUCUCUCUCCUUAUCUAUUCAUAUCAAUUUGGGCAUUUUUUUGGCAUUUUUUAAUCCUUCAAGUAACAUUGUGCAAUGAUUUGUGUAUUGGGAAUUUUUGAGUUUCGAAUCCCUAAUUAGGGAUUUGUAGUGUCGAUUCCCUAAUUGGGGAUUUUCUGAUAUUACAAAUUAGGGAUUUGGGGAUUUUAGAAUUUUGGGGAUCUUGAGGAUUUUUGAAAUUGGGAAUUUCAGGUGGUUUUGAUAGCUGAUUUGGUAGAUUUGAUGUUUAUUUGUUCAUAUUUUGUUUAUUUAUAGGGUUUUGAUGGCCGAUUUGGAGGAUUUGAUGGUUAUUUAUUCAUGUUUUCUUGAUUUUUAGGGUUUUGACUGCCGAUUUGGAGGUUUUGGUGUUAACUACAAUAUUCCCUGGUGGCCCUUUGAUGAUGGACUAGCCAGUGUAUCUAGUAGAGAUAGGUUUUGGUAUAUACUUUCCUUUUCACAGAGUAUUAGGUCCUUUAUCUUAUUCUUUAAUGGAUGUUCCUCUCUUUUCACCAACAGUAAUUUGGUGGCUAGCUUUCCAUAUACAAAAAAAGAUCGGGUUGUAGAAUGCUUUAGAGCGAACUACCCCUAUUCUGGGAAAGCAAAGAACUAUGAAUAAUUCAUAAAUUGUGGUAGUGAGGCACUACAUU